UGUACUGGUAAUUUAAAGAAAAAGAAUGUCAACAAUGAAAGUGAAACUACGGUAAAUCAUUUGAUUACCACUUCGAUGCACAUAAAAUCAUUCUUAUACGGCUAAAAGCAAUGAGAAACAUCUAUCUUUAAUCUAUAAAAUAAAACAGACCUAUAAAAAUCCAAUUGCACGUGUUGGUUUAAUCUAUUCAUAUCUUUUUUAUGUUUACAUCGCUUAUAUGGUCAUCUGAGAUCAAAUCGAUAGUUAAUUAAAUGGCGUCUGGACUAAAAUAC
rnacentral:lncRNA from 1 species